UUGAAAGGGAAACGAUUGAAGUCAGUCGUACCGACGAGAAAUCAGCUUAUCGUGUGUUAACUUGUGGGCGUGCGUGAGUUUCGGCCUCGCUGUUUGCAUGUUUGUGCACUUUGGGUGUACUUUUUCGUAUGGUUGGCCAACAUCAGUUUCGAUCACUAUAAAAUGACUGGCGGAAUGUAGCUUCGAUUUCGGUUGAAGUGUUAUAGCCUCUGGUAGAUGUGGUGAUUGAGACUGAGGAUUGCAACGAAUAUCCUUUGGGCUAUCCGUCUGGCCUCUGAAAGUUGCCUGGGUGCUGAAAGCUUGCUUAUGGUUAUCUAAGUUAACGGUCAAUAGGUUAGAACGCGAUUACAUUCGUUAAGGAUGUUGACGUA
rnacentral:rRNA from 1 species